AUUUGUUGAAACCAAUGACAAGGGCAUCCCUCAUCCAUGCGUGCCUGCAAUUUUCAAUUGCCUCAGGUAUGGUCACCCAACUUCUGUUUCUCGUGUUCUGCUCCGGCCAGAACUCAAGCUCCUCAUUGACAAAUAAAGCAUACAUUGCUGCUCUACACAAUCCAUCUGGACUAAACUCAUCUUGUUGUGUUUUACUCUUGAAGUGAUAGUCUCCCAAAAAACCCAUAAGUUCACCACGAACACCCGCUUCUUCAAUAGCUUCCCUUACAGCAGCCUCCUCCACUGUCUCGUCAUUCUCCCAGCCUCCCUUUGGGAACAAAAGGCCCGGUCCACUAGGUGUGUCAAUCAUAAGCACCUCCACUACUUUAUCUGAACUUUCAUCACUACUGCCAUCGGAAC
rnacentral:misc_RNA from 1 species